rnacentral:rRNA from 1 species
AUCCUGGCUCAGAUUGAACGCUGGCGGCAGGCUUAACACAUGCAAGUCGAGCGGAGCGAGGGUGCUUGCACCUUAGCUUAGCGGCGGACGGGUGAGUAAUGCUUAGGAAUCUGCCUAUUAGUGGGGGACAACAUUCCGAAAGGAAUGCUAAUACCGCAUACGCCCUACGGGGGAAAGCAGGGGAUCUUCGGACCUUGCGCUAAUAGAUGAGCCUAAGUCAGAUUAGCUAGUUGGUGGGGUAAAGGCCUACCAAGGCGACGAUCUGUAGCGGGUCUGAGAGGAUGAUCCGCCACACUGGGACUGAGACACGGCCCAGACUCCUACGGGAGGCAGCAGUGGGGAAUAUUGGACAAUGGGCGCAAGCCUGAUCCAGCCAUGCCGCGUGUGUGAAGAAGGCCUUUUGGUUGUAAAGCACUUUAAGCGAGGAGGAGGCUACUUGGAUUAAUACUCUAGGAUAGUGGACGUUACUCGCAGAAUAAGCACCGGCUAACUCUGUG